rnacentral:rRNA from 1 species
GCAGGGUGUCGUAGGUGACCUGCGGAGGGACAUUACACAAAUAUGAAGGCGGGCUGGAACCUCUCGGGGUUACAGCCUUGCUGAAUUAUUCACCCUUGUCUUUUGCGUACUUCUUGUUUCCUUGGUGGGUUCGCCCACCACUAGGACAAACAUAAACCUUUUGUAAUUGCAAUCAGCGUCAGUAACAAAUUAAUAAUUACAACUUUCAACAACGGAUCUCUUGGUUCUGGCAUCGAUGAAGAACGCAGCGAAAUGCGAUAAGUAGUGUGAAUUGCAGAAUUCAGUGAAUCAUCGAAUCUUUGAACGCACAUUGCGCCCUUUGGUAUUCCAAAGGGCAUGCCUGUUCGAGCGUCAUUUGUACCCUCAAGCUUUGCUUGGUGUUGGGCGUCUUGUCUCUAGCUUUGCUGGAGACUCGCCUUAAAGUAAUUGGCAGCCGGCCUACUGGUUUCGGAGCGCAGCACAAGUCGCACUCUCUAUCAGCAAAGGUCUAGCAUCCACUAAGCCUUUUUUUCAACUUUUGACCUCGGAUCAGGUAGGGAUACCCGCUGAACUUAA